CAAAAAAAUAUAUAUAUAUUAUUAAACUAUUCGAUGCAUGCCAAUGAUUGAAAGCACUGUUCUUUGGUUCGUAACUCAUUGGAAGCACUUUGUGGCUAAGGGCAAGCCGAACCCCGAGCGGGGAUUAAUCCCACACUUCGGGUGUAGGGACACUUCGUGGUAUUUACUCAAAAAAAAAAAAAAAAAAAAGCACUGUUCUUAUCUACAAUGCAGGUGUGAAUUGAAUCUGGAAGUCACAGAGGUGCCAUGAGUGUUUUGGAACUAAUGUCAAGGGUCACCAAAAAAGAAAGAAUCUAAAGGCAUCAGAUUUACACCUCGUCACGGGAGGGCUUAUCUUCAUAAUCAAAGCAGAAAUUCAACUAGCAAGUAAAGUCAAAGUCAAAUAUUGAAGUGAAGAAAAUGUGUUGAUGAAGAAGCCAUUCUAACUUUAAGUGGCUUUGAAUACACCUUUUAAUUAAACCUCAUUAAGAAGUUUCUGAACGACCAAACUCAUUCAUGUUGGCAAAUUUUAUUUCUCUGCCUUCUGUCCCUUGCAUAAUUAUUUCAUUCCCAACUUUCCUUUCCCUUGGAUUUAAAGCAAGCAAGGCAAGUAGAGAAAAGAAAAAGCAGAAAAGACCCACGUCCAUUAAAACAAUGAACUUUAAAGAAGACAAGAAUUGAAGAUUUUAUCAGGAAAAAUUGACUCACUGAUGAUCUCUGAGCUUGAAUUUUCAGCUGAAGCACCCUCGGAAAUGGUCGAAAAUGAAAAUCCACCAAACUCAAAAGUACCAAAUGAAGUAAGAGUAGCCAGAAACAGAGAAGUGAGACAAACUCCACACAGAAAACCAACCACACAAAUUUGGCAUGGAAAUGAACUCCCCAUUUGCAAAGCCUUCUGAGAAACAGCUCUCUCAAGCGACUUCUGAUUUAAUGGUUCCAUUUUCACCUUUAAGGAUCAAUCAAAGAACCCAAGAGCUACUCUGAAGCUUUUUUCACCGGAAUUUCAUGGGACGCCAACCAACUCAUCACUGCAAUCACAUGAAGCAACUUAACUUUUAAUUAUCUUAUUUUCUUUUUUACUUUCUACUUUUGUGUAUGAGAUUUUCAUAAGCAGAGAAACACGAGAACAGGGCUUAUGCCAAUCUACCAAAUGAAGGAACAAAAUCACAAAAAUUGUCAAUAUCAACCAUCCAUUUCACCUUAAACUUUGGUGGCCCACCUUCAUCUUCCUUCCAACUGCAAAAAUAAAUGAAAUUUCCUAUCAGAAAAGAAAUGCAGAACUCGAGCCAGAAUAUUGCACUAGUGAUGGAAAAUAAAAUAUUACUAUCAUCACUGCAGUAAUAAUGAAAAAUCAGCAAAUUCAGUAAGAUAGACAUUCGAAAACCUUUUUUUUUAAAAAAAAAAAAAUCAAAUUUAAUUUUGCUGGUUAAUAUAAGAUUAGUAAAGACACCAUUAAAUGAAGAUAGAAAUUGCAGAAGCACAGGGACCAAUUUUACAUUUUAAAGUAAAAAAUAGAGAAAUAAUAGAGAGAGAAAGUAUUAGAAUACCAUGAAUCGCAGAAUAUCUUCUUGUAUCAAGUAAAAGGUAUAGUUCACUUGGAUGUCAAAGAGAAACGGAAGCAACAGAUAGGUAACAAAACCAAAACGCAUAAAGAGAGCCCAUGCAGAGAGACACACGCCACAAAAGAAGCAGCAAACAGUUUAGAGAGAGAUGAGCAUGGCCAAAAGCAACACCAAAACAGAAAAUUUGGAAAGAGUUUUAUCUUCAAUUAUGUGUACCUUUGAGUAAUUGAGAAAAAAGAACAAAAUUGAAAUGGGUCUCUCAGCAAAACCAAGAAAAUACAAUACAGUACUUUGAGAGAGAGAGAGAGAGAGAGAGAGUUUGUGACUUUGUUUGUGGGUGUGAAUUUGUUGAGUUUCUCAAGAAGGAAACAGACAUCUCAUCCUCCGAACAACCGCGGCCAUCCACUCGACGUUGUUAAGAUUUUUAUGCAGUUUAUGCGAAGAGACUCUGUCAGUAUCUAAGAUAGAGUGAUGCACAGUGGACACAUGGCACAAACCCAACUGAAAGAAAAAGAUGGUGUUUUUAUGGUGCAGGUAGAACAAGACCUUUAAUUUCUAGCUCAUUACCAAAUACUAACUGCCUCCCAAAAACUACGUUUCAUGAUGAACCUCUCUCAUUAUUAUGAGUUGUAUUUGGAUGAUAAAGUUUUGAGUGCAAAUUAGGAAAAGCUCUUAGCUUGUAAAAGACACGAAUCCCCUUUGAUUAAUUGAUUCCAUCAUUUAGUAUGUUCUAGACUUGACACUUACACUUGCUCCUUCCCCACUUUCUUUUGGUCCUAUGAGAGCUUAACAUUUAUUGGGUAUUUGGCCCAAAAAAAUAAUAAUAAUAAUAAUAAUUAGUUGGUGCUCUGUAUUCUUGAUUUCCUUUGAUUAAAUUAUAAUUAUGUAGUUGUUGGCAAGCAUUCUAUUACCGUCCCUUGCUAAUCAUGCAUAUCUAACAUUGGAGAACUUAUUUAUUUUAAUGAAUUGAUGAAGACUCAAAAAUGAAGUCGUCGAGGGGUAGUAUAGUAAUUGCAUGUGCGAAUAGUUUAUACUUGUACAUCCAAUUUGAAAAGUCCAAGUUGACAUGAUGAGAUGCUAAUCUUGACACAAGGCCAGCCACUUGGUAAAUUUCUUUUUAUCCACCGACACGUACAGCAAAAAGAUCCCAAAACUAGCGUUGGACCACUUAUUGUUGAUAAUAAUAUUAUUAUUAGAGGAGCUGAAAAAAUUCGUACUUGUAAAACAAUUAAUGAAUAUAUCCAGUUGCGAGAUAUAUGAAAACUCCAUUUUCACAAGACUAAGACUUCGUCCGGGCUGCUCGCCUCUCACUUGGGAUUUAUUAUGUAUCGUUUCUCUUGUGCGUGUUUUUUAAUAUUUGUUUUAAUUAUCAAAUGAACAAUUUUAUUUCAUGAUCAAGGAGUCAAGAACAAUACGUAUCGUUGUACGCUAGAUUAAGAAAAUACUAAUGAUACAAGGGUUCUUUUUUUAUUCAACCAAUGAUAUAAGAAUUAAUCAAAUUAAUUAGUGCGAAAGGAUUUCUCAUAUUGCACCUGAGUUCGAAUUCUCUUUUUUAUAAUUUAAAUUAAUUUAAAAUAUAUUAUCACUUGUAUGAAAAAUAAAUAAUAAAAAGUUACCUUUUACCAACCAGAGAAAAUAGAGCACUUAUCUGUUGGCACUCGACGACAUUGCGUUCCAUGACAAUAAACAUUUUUGGAGGACCUACUUGUGGAUCCCACCGGCUUAUUUGGUUUUCGAAAAAUAACAUAUUCUUCGCGAGUUACGAAAUGGCUCUGUCUCCUCUCCUUUCGUUGUCAGUUUGUCACACUGAUACAUAUGUUAUUCGGUCCCACGAAAAUAAUUGUGCAAUUUAAAAAGCAAGGACUAAUUUAAUUGGCAUUCGUGUUCCACUAACUUUCAGAACAAGCCGCCAAUUAGGCUCCACAGGCCCAACACAACUGCCUCAACUUGGGCUGGAUGAAAAUGAUACCCCCUCUCUUCUCAGCCCACCCGAACUAACUUCUCUUAAAUGAAGCCGAAGAAAACUAAACGGUCAUAUUUUCAAGCUCCAGAUUCUUCAAUCAGACUCUCUUGUGACCGUUGCGUCCUCAGUCUUCUUCUCUCUCUCUCUCUCUCUAAAGUCUAAACCAUGAAGACCGCUUUCUAAACCACUCUCUCUCUCUCUCUCUCUCUCUCUCUCUCUCUCUCUCUCUCUCUCUCUCUUGACAGCAAAAGGCAUCCGAAAGAAGUCAGCUGUAAAAGCAGCUAAUCAUGGGGUGCUUUCCAAAAUGUUUCACUAGUUGUAAGCGCCGAAAGCUCAAAAAAUCAGUCACCGUGACUCCAUUUAAACACCAACAAGUAAGCAAAGCAAGCCCUCCAUAAUCACAUUUUACUAAUUGUAGUGUAGACUCUGCUAUUCCCAAUUUGGAUUUUACUUAUCUGAGAUUAAUUUGUUGCAGAGCUUUGAAGGUACUGAAAAAGUUGUUCAAAUUCAACAUGCUGAACCCACUAAGCUAGAAGACGUUUUGGAAGCCAUUAAACUCACCAAAGAAUCAAAGUAAGCUUUAUCCGUUAUUAUAGCUUCGAUCUUGAUUCUGUUUCUUUUUUGGGAGCAUCUGGUUCAUUGGGUUUAUGCCUUUGUGGGUUUUUUAUUAUACAUUUUUUUUAAAAGUUGACAUAUGUGGGGAUUUAUUUAUGGUCAUUAAUAAAUGUAUACAGAGAGGAGGAGAAUGAAGAACAAUCAAAGAAUGAUGCCAAAAAGAAAGUUACGUUUGAUUUGAAUACCAAGGUCCAUCAUGAAGAAUCAUCUACCACUACCAAGGAAGUCACCAAUAGCUUGGUGGAAAGCUCCGAUGAGAAACAGGAAAUACAAAAAGAGCUGGGACCGAUUCUGGGUUCCAUUAUAUCAAGCGUAGCACCAUCUCAUCCGUUAAACAAAAGAUACGAAAAUUGCGAAAACAAUGAGGAUGAAUAUGAAGAUGUGGUGGACUUAGAUGGAAGUGAUUUGGAUGCAGCUGAUGAUUAUGAACAAGGACAUGUCGAUGAUGAGUUUGAUAGUAAGCAGCAAAUCUCAAUUCAAGAAGAGUCUUCCGAAUCAUUGUUUUCGCUAUCGAUAGAUUCCAGGAAACAAGUUUAUGAUGCUGAAAUAGAUGAGAAGGAGGUCAACAGUCCAAUGCCAAAGCUCAGUGCCUCUAACCAGGAAGUUAAUCUAAUAGGAUCAAACCAAAAUGCUAGGGAUCAAUCAGUGCUGAAGCCCAUUGAAAAUCUUACUCAAUGGAAGGAGGUCAAACAGAAAGCAACUUCCACAGCUUCAAAGCACCAAGAGAAGGAGAACAUAAAUACAGAGCAAGAUUGCUAUGUACCCUUUAGCCCAGAGCCUACUUUAAAGCUGUCAAAACACUGCCCCAGGCCAAAGUCCGAUGACCAGGGAACUGGGGUUGACACUAGCCUUUCAAGCUGGUUGGUUGAAUCUGAGACCACGCCCAAGUCCAAUGCCAGUAACAAUUCUGUGGGGAACAACUCACUCUGUGAGAGAGUGAUAAACUCACCCGGAAGCCGCGAAGAUAGGCCAAUUUUAGGAGCUUGGACAACUGAAGAGAUAAAACAGUUGUCUGCUUUUUCUACCCCGAGACGGUCGCGAAGCCCAAGUCCGGACCAGAUACCGAUCAUAGGCACUGUUGGGAGCUACUGGUGUCAUACUGGUCAGACCAUGGAUUCGGACUCAAGCUCUUCUUGCAGCGGAAUGCCAAGAACAGCAGGGAGAAACAGAGAGGUAAGAGUAAAGUUUUUCUUUUCUUUUUGAAAAAAAUGCUAUGUAAUUACUUGAAUUGUGGGUUAAACGUUGUUUGAUUGGCCAAGAACAGCAGGGAGAAACAGAGAGGUAAGAGUAAAGUUUUUCUUUUCUUUUUGAAAAAAAUGCUAUGUAAUUACUUGAAUUGUGGGUUAAACGUUGUUUGAUUGUGCAGGAUCCGAAAGUGAAAUGGAAGUCUACUGCAUUUGAGGCAAAAUUGGAGAGAGCUUUAGACAUGGGUCUACUUGAAGCUUAGCUACAAAUUAUAGCAAUGGUGUCUGAGAUGGGAUAUUCAGUAUUUGUGAUAUUCAUGUAAUUUUGAAUUCCAGGGGUCUAAAUUUUAAUCCGGUUGUCUGCUAGAUAUUUAUGUAAUAUUGUUAUUUUUCUAAUUGUUUUUUCAUAAGGAAAUUAUCUUACAUUCAAUAUUUAACUAAUUAAGAAAUGAAAAUUUCAACUAAUAAAUAAACUAACAGAGACGAACUCGUCAGGGAAAUACAAAAAUUGAACAUGCGUAAAAUGGUCGAAUCAAUUGAAGGUGCAAUUUGUACGUCAGUAUAAGAUCGACCUGUGACAACUCAUGAAAAAUAUGUAAUGACUAAAACAAAGAAAUUUUCUUACAUGGGAAGGCAAAAGCUAAAAAUCUCUGUAAUACGGUACUAGAACAAAAUACUCAAUACAUCAUUCUUCCAUUUUCCCCCCAAGACUACAGUUUACCCAAGAGACGAUACAACAUUUAUUUGUUUUGACAGUAAUCACUCCCCUAUCUUUGCCUUAUAUUUGAAUCAGUUACAAGAUCCUCUGAAAGGGAAAUGUGCUAUUUCUCCUUUGAUUUUUUUUUUAAAAAAAACAGACAAGGACCCAAACUGGGUUUUCUACACAUCGUGAAAGAGCCUCCUUAUCUGGUCGACGGUGGUUGGCAUCAAUGUGAUUGGACAUCGCUUAUACUGUGUCAAUAACGACCCAUAAGAAGACAUUCAGUUACACGCUAUGGAAAAACAACAUAACUUGAUGCAUGGACAACACAACCACUGAUUUUCUUUGCCUGCUUGGAAUAUGCAGACAUAGUGAUGUACUUGACAGUAUGCAAUAUCAGUUUAUAUACUUCACUCCGAAGGGCAGCCUUUGUCAGACUUUCCCAAGGAAUGUGAAAGUGUGUUUAUCCACACAAAACAUUGACUAUUGAAAAUUAAAAUUAACGGCUUCUGAAGGCCUCACCUGAGAAACAUACUUGAAAAUGCAGGCAUAGCAAAAGACAAACCCAGAAACUGUAAUUACAGAUGGAUUCGCACGCCUCUGUGAACAGAGAGGACAAAGAGUUCUAUCGGGUGGCAGUGGAAUCCCCUCUUUGGCAACCUGUUUACAGUAAUGGAUUAGACUUGAUUACUUGAGCAACAUACCAACUCUUUGAUUGAUUGGAAGUGCUAUUAAAUUCUAAAGAAAAUGAUAAAUUAAAGCCAAGAUGGAUUGGAAAACACUUCACCUGGGGAGGUGGAGGUGGAGGAGGUGGAGGGUAUAUGGUUGGAGCUGACAUUCUCUCUUCAGCAGAUUGGUACCACCAUUCCAUCAUCUAUGAGUUUAAUUCAAAUCAAUGAAAGUUACAAUGAGAAUCAUGUGAUAAAAAAUGACUAUGAAAACUUGCCACCAGUCAAAUUAAAGAUUAUUAUGCUUGUUCCAUAAUUACAAAGGUCUUAAUAUCACAUAUGGGUAAGCCAUGCUUACUUUAAAAAAGAAUACUGCUGCAAUUAACCCAGUCUGUGCAUAAUCGAGCACUGUGUAUGUACCACUGAGCAAUGCUCCUUGUAAUGCCUGUAUGGUGAUUCAUGUCAGAUAGCAAGAAAUGAACAACCAAGGUCAAUCCAAACAUACAGAAGUGCUUCCUCAUAAUCUUUACAUAAUUUGUACUUUUUCUCGUGGAAUAUUACUAAUCAAACACAAUAAUAAUAGCAGACUACUUGCAUAUGUAAGGUCAACUACUAUCAUACCAUGUUUCAAAUCAAUAUGACUAAGAAUCAAACUAAAAAGACUUGAUUAAAACAAUUAACCAAACUAACCAAAUGUAGUUAUACCUUCAACCAUGGAGGACCACGAAGUCUCUCACGUUCACGGCUUCUUGUUUUUGAAAUUCUAGAAGAUGUAUCCAUCUACCUUGACACCAAAAAAUUGUUUUUCAACUAUUGAAUCAUAUACACAGAAACAAGAAGUCAUCACCAAGCCACGCCAACUAUCAUUUUUCUUUUUCUUCUUUUCAAUCUCAUAAAUGUGACAAAAUUCAACGGAUAAAAGUAUAUCGUACCAAAAAUCCCUGACUAAAUGCACUGAAAAAUAUAAAAGGAUAAAUAGAUGAGAACCAAAACAAAUUUUUGCCACACAAUACCAGCUCUUGCCCUGUAGCUCGACAGACAUGAAUCCCAAGAGCAUGUAAUCCUAAGGAAUAAAAUCCAGUUGCAUCCAACAAGUAUAACAUCUGAUAAGCAAAUGAAAAUCCUGCAUCACCAGUUCUAGGUUAGAAUGUAUUAUCUAACCAGACGUUCAUAUGGUAAAAUACAGAUAAAGGACCUAGAGUACUCCUAAGAAGAGAUCAACAGAUAGAUUCACUGUGAAGAUGUAACAUCGUACAUUGAAAACAUAACAACAUUAAGGGGACUUUAGAUAUAUAAUCUUUUAAUUGGCUAAGUUUAAAGAGCUUCAUGUCAACAUUAUCUAUUGUAAAGAAAAAGAACGCAAGUACUAGUCUUUUGAAAGUAAAACUUCUAUAAUUACACAAAUUAAGUAACUUCCCUCAGUUUCUACUGCUGGUUUAUGCAUAACAUGCAUAUCCUCACAAAUAUGUUCGAGCAAAAAAUUAAAAACAAAAUCCAAAUUGAAAGAUGAAAGUCAUUCUUCGCAUAUAAAGGUCAGCAAGAAAGAUGCACAAACCUUCAGUACUAGCAUGUAGCAAAGGAUAGCAAGCACCUAUAAAUUUCUGGAUCUUUCUAGUCAAACGCGUUCUAACUGAUGAUUCCAUAUCCAAAUUUCCUCUUGGAAUAACAGAAUCCUCCCCUCUAUCAAAUAUAUCAGCAUCAUCAAAUCUUUCAUCAACGUGUCCCCAUAAGCUUGCUUGAAGUCUGGCUUCCCUUUCUUUAUUAUAGAUUGAAUGCAAUUUCGACUUAAAGUAAGGCAAUACAACCUAGUACAUAUUCGUUCACAAGUCAGUCCUCUUCAUAUAGCUAGACUUAUAAGACAAAAGAAAUCUACAUAGCCCUAUCUUGCAAAAACACAAUAAGCAGGAGACCGUACCAAAAAUACAACUGACAGAACUCUUUGGCGCUUUUCUAACCCAGAAUGCUGAAUUCCAUCACCUGGGUUCAGGCGAGGAUCAUCCUUCAUGGCUUUUAUCUUCACAGCCCGCCUUCUUAAUCCAUAUAGAGACUCAGAGAAGGAAGCAUCUGAAGAGAAUAGGACCCAGAAGACAAAAUUAUCGUAGAUGGUAACAUUCAUUGAUCAGUCAGAUGCAGAAUAAAGUAAAUUCGUAACUGCUGGAGCAAAAUAUGAAUCAGAAAACCUGUAGUUCUCAAGCUAUGAGUUUCGAGAACUAGCAUGAGCAACGAAAAGAAUUCGUCUUCAUAGUCUAACACCCUAUGGAGGAAGGGUCUUCGUAAAGCUAAUACCUGUUGAAAUUAACAUUUAGAGAUAAGAUCAUUCUCAGCCUACCAAACCCCAGAAACAAAGAGAGUUGUAAACAAUCAAAUUUUUACAAAAGAGAAAAAAGAAGAAGAGAGUAGAUAGAGGUAGAGCUUACGCCGAUGGAAUAGGUGAGAGCGGCGCGAAGACUGGCAGGGAGCUGCUGAGCCGCCGCCAUCUCGAAGAAGGUGGGACGAGUCCCUUGGCCUCCCACUUGAAACAACAUCUUAUUUGCUCUCUCUCUCUCUCUCUCUCUCUCUCUGUGUUCCUGUUUCUUGAGCUUAAUAAAUUAGUUUUGGGUGCAGCAGAGUAAGGACCUACCAAGUAAAAACAAGGUUGAGAACUUGCGAUGCGAUGCGAAAUUUGACAGUUUGUGUUGGAAGGAACACAACACCGCCACAUCCAAAUUCCAAUUACAAAAGCAUAUUGCCCAGCCUAUUUGUUUUCAGAGCAAAAAUAAAAAAUAAUUGGUUUUCAGAGCAAAAAUAAAAAAUAAAAAAUCAUUUGGUCUUUCUCUUUUCAUCCUUAAUUUGUUUUCGUUUUUGUUUUUUUUUCAAGAAACACCACAUAAAUUAUUAGGACUAUGUGCAUUUGUCAUCCAAUUAAAAAUAAUUAAAAAAAAUUUCAUGAACCUCAAGAACCAUUUAUUUAAGAUAAAAAGCCUUAAAUAAAUAAAGCGUUUAUUUAUGGGUGUGGGGUAAAGGAAAUAUAAUCAAUUCUUUAAUUCUUGAGUCGAUGACUAUGGCCAUAUUAUUGAAUUUCAGAGAAAACGAAACAGGACUGUUAAACCAUCCAUUAACAAUGAAUGUGAAUGCAAGUGCUUUACAAGGAAUGUGUUCUAGACAUUUUGGCUGGAGUUUUAUGUAUACAUACUGUUCACAAUUGGGCUGCAUGAUAGAUGGGGUAUACCUAUACAUACUGGGCUGUUCUCAUGUAGGCCUACACGAUUAUUGAUUCUCGUUUUUGAGAAAGAAAAAGAGGUCCUUCACUUUUGAACAAAAAGGAAAUGAAAAAAAAAAACAUGACACUAAUUAUUGAACUGUUCAAAUUCAAAACCCAAGUACCCGCCAAUACUAACAUGAUUUAUAUGCUAAAGUCCAAAGUAAACAAAAACUAACCCAUAAUUAAGCGAUUGCUAAUAUUAAUUAGUGCUAAUUAAAACGAGACUAUAACUCCAACAAGAACAAGGUCCUCCAAAAUGGUUGAGAUUCUUUAUAAAUGCAAAUCCUCAAGAUCCUUAUUAACUUUCAGAUUCCUUAAAAUGGCAUUGACACGAGGGGAAUGAUCCACGUUAUGAACAAUGAAAUUUACUACGGUCUUCUUGAUAAAUUUUAGUCCGCACUGUGAACCUGAUUUACCGAAAUAACGAAGAAUUAACUACCGUUUGUACCUGAUUUACCGGAAUACGUAUUGAUAAGAGAUGAACAAGCUGCUUGGCCUUGACAAUUAUAUCCGGGUCAGUAGUCUUGGUUGUUUUGAUUGUUAUGUAACCAAAAACCUGACCAUGCAUGAUUCAAAAUAAAACAAGUUAAUUAGUAUCUGCAUCCAAUCAUACAUAAUUUGAAUCAACCAUCGAUUGAUCAAGAGUAGAUAUUUCAAAAACAACAUUAAUUUAUUAUGACAUACCACAUCCAAUCUGCAUAUGAUACCAUACUCUUUUAAAGCAGAUUUCACAUUCGGCCAAGCUUCUUGCAAAAAUAUUGCUGCACGAAACAAUGCAACGGCUCAUAUUGAUAAAGUAUUUGUUCUUUUAUAUAACUAAACCAUUAAUAGUAAUGAUUUAAAAACAUAUGGGAUAAGUUGUGUCGAAAUCCUUUUAUUUCUAGAGGUCUCAGACAUGGUUGUUUUCACCCAUCAGCCAUCACCCACCCACCCCAACGAUAAAAUAAAGGGAGUAUCUUCAGGGGUAACAUGGCAUUUAGGGAAGUGCCUAGAGAAAGCGAUGCCUUGAGGCUUUCCAUCUUCGUUUAGCAGAGGCUCAAACCUCCUAUUAUACAACAUUUUGGAUAUGUCUGCAUCGCGGCUCCAACGGACUAGCUGCAAAUCUAUUUCUGCACAAAACAAUGCAAAGGAUCAUCUCAUAUUCUCAUUGGUUGGUGCAUGCACAAGUAUUUGUUCUUUUGAAUAGUCCUUAUUAAAAAUCUAAGAAUGGUGAAACUUUGAGAGACACAGAGAGAGAGAGAGGGCAUGUACCGAAGCCUUGAGGGCAGCGACUGAGGAAAGAGGUGAUUUCAGGAUUCUCAUCUUCGUACAGUGAAGGGCCAAACAUCUUCUUCAAAAUUUGGACGAUUUCUGGAUUCUCAUACCACUGCAUUUCCUGUAACGAGGACGUGUCUGUCGUUUUUGCAGUGGAGGGCGAAAUUAACCUCUUCUUCACCAUCUGGAGGACUUCUGGAUCCUCGUACCACUCCACAGAAAACUCAUAGUAGCCUUCUUUGUUGGUCUCCAUGUCCAUGGUCGCUCGCGCUGUCGGCCAAGAGAAGAAGAGAUUUAGGGUGGAUUUAAGGGAGAUGGCGGGAAUAUUUUGGGGUGGAUUUAUAUAAUUCGGGGAUGAGCCGUGGUGACUCGGGCCGGGAUCAGACGGGGCUGUUUUGGGCCUAGACGGGCGAGUUGAGACAUCCAAUUUCUUUUAUAAAUUUGUUUUUGAAAGAAACCUCAGCAAGGAGGCAUAGUGAAAAGAGACUUCAGGCAGUGUCACGAGAAAGCUCUUAAUAUCCUCAUAUAUGUUGCCAAGACUAGAAUGGUACAUUCCCGGAUUGUUCACCGCUGCCGCCACCACCACCACCAAGGAGUCCCCUUCAAACAUAGGGCGCGCCAAGCCCUCAGCAUGCUCAGCCGAUGAUACUAUUACUGCAAACUUCGCCAUAGCGCCAAAGGCACCAUCAUCCUGUCGCGCAACUAUCACAAGGUGAAUAGUUUAACUUGCAAACACACUAAGAGCAAAAUCUUAGUUAAAACUUCUUCCAUAUUUUUUAUCUUGAUUCUGCCAUAUUUCUUCCCAACCAACACUACCCCCAAAGUUCUUCUAUCUCACGCUGAUUUAGAUUUCUCUCUUGUAAACAAAAACGAGAGAGAUUCCCCGACUUCACACAAAAAUUACAAAAUCAUAACGAACAAAUUCAACAAUUUCUUUUUCUUCUCCCUUGGGAUGUUUUUUUACCAUUCAUCAAUUAGAAUAUAGAUAAAUUCAUAUUAUCAAUGGUGCCGAAGAGAAAUCUAGUAUGUGCUUCAAAAAGAUAAUGGAAGAUUAAUAUCUCCUAAUAAUACUUACUGUACAUAUACAUGCAUGAUACUGAUUGUCAUAUUUGGGAAGAAAAAAUAAUCACACUUUUGAACAAUUUCAUCUAAUAAUUAAUAACAAGCAUAUCAUUUUGCAUGAAAUCACACUUUUGAACAAAGCUUGGAAAACAAGAAGCAAUUUUGAGAUUGCAUAUUUAAUAUAAAUAGUAUCUUAUUGUUCAUUGGAGGUGGUGAUUAAAGUCCAAAGUGCUAAGUAAAAAUUAAUCCAUAAUUAAGUGAUAAUUGUUUGCCAUACAGUUUUGACUAUACUAGGCUGGCUAAUAUUUGCAACACAGUGCUAAAGUUGUUCCAUUUAAAACGAGACUAUAACUCCAAGGUCCUUGACAUUCUUUGUCACUCGAAUCGAAAGGAUCAAAAUAAUUAAUAACUCCAAAAUUCUCGAGAUUCUUCAUAAAUACAAACCCUUAGGAUUUAUCAUCGCUUGAAAACUCGUUAAAAUCGCAUUCACAAGGAGAGAAGGAUCCACAUCAUGAAAAGAAUCCACAUCAUGAACAAUGACAUCUACCACGAUCCUCCUAAUUACUUGUAAUAUGAGCGGUGAACCUAUAACAGCAAUGAUGUCUAUCUGAUAUUCAUAUUCGGAAUAGCUUGUAAGGGUUGCGCGAAAAAAGAUCUCCAAGGCUACCAAUCCUUCAAGUAUCUGCAUCUCAAUUAUAUUUAUUUUCAAAGUUGAGACAAGCGACAAACAAAAAGAAUUAAACAAUGUACCUAGCUAAUCAAGUCACAGACCAGUAACUAAAGCAUGAUUUAGAAGAAUAUUUUAUGCACCUACAUGUAAGUAAUGCAUGAGGCGUCCCAGCAGCACCGAAUAUUGCCCCUGCACCCUAUUAUUUUUCUUUCGUUUCUCGCAAAUAUUUACUUACAACAUGCGGGUCUCUUGCAUGUAACUUCUAGGAUCUGUUCAACGGAUCCCGAGCUUCUGCAUUUAGAGACCGUGCAUAUACCUGUAUUUCGUUAUGGAGAAUGAUGCACGUCAUCAUAAUGCCGAAGCACCUCUUCAUCAAACAUAUGAGCAGACGCCCUAAUGAUUGCCCACCGAGGAGGAUACCAAAACACAUUUUCACAUCUUUCCUAUAACCCUCUUGAUAGGUAGCAAAGUAUUUUUCCUUCUCCCAUUGGAGAUGCGGAAUUGUUUUGACGAAUGUCGUCCACCUCAGGUAAAUUUCGUCUGCUAGGUAGUACCUACAUGAGUAGAUGAUAUUGUUGAUUCCAUAUGCAAUCUGAGGGACUUGACCUCUCAACACAUUGUUGAACACCGGGAAUUGAUCGAGCACGUUAAUGUCAUUUUGAGAUCCAGCAACUCUGAAAAAGGCAUGCCAAAUCCAGGUAUCGAAUGUAAAAUUGUAAUCAAAGGAAGAAUAUUUGAUUACUGGAUGAUUUUCUCUUUACAAUGUCAAGGGUAUCUAUACCCAGGUUCCCUACAAUCAAGAGACUAAUAAAGGAAAGCAAAUCAUGUACAAUCAAUUACAUAUAAUUUGGCUAAUCACUCAAUCCCUAAUAUAUUAGGAUUUAGUUGACUUCUCAACACUCUCCCUCAAGUUGGAGAGUGAAUAUUGUGAACUUCCAACUUGCACACCAUAGCCGAAAAAUCUUCUUUUCCCGAGGCCUUCGUAAACACGUCUACUACUUGUUGUUGAGAUGGAAUAUAUCUUGUAACCACUGUUCUAUCCAGAAUUUUAUCCCUGAUAAAAUGACAGUCGAUUUCAAUGUGUCUAGUUCUGUCAUAGAACACUAGAUUGGCAGAUAUGUGCAGCGCGGCUUGGUUGUCACAGUGUAAAGUAGCUGGUCCUGGGUCUGGGAGUUGUAGGUCUUGCAAUAGAUAAUGCAACCAAGUAAUUUCACAGCAAGCACCUGUCAUGCACGAUAUUCAGCCUAUGCUAAAGAAGAGAUACUGUUUUUUGUCUUUUUGUUCUCCAUGAGAUCAAAAAAUUUCCAAGAAACACGUAAUAGCCACUUGUUGACCUUCAUGUUAUUAGACAUCCCACCCAAUCUGAAUCACAGUAUGCCGUCAACUUCAUCUCAUUUCCAGCAGGAAAGAAGAGUCCUUGUCCUGGGGUACUUUUCAAAUACCUCAAAACUCUUAUGGCGGCAUCUAAGUGUGGCUUGCGAGGCUCAUGCAUGAAUCUACUGAGUAUAUGUAUUGAAUACAUAAUAUUAGGUCUUGUUACGGUGAGAUAAAUCAGACGUCCCACCAAUCACCUAUAUUUUGCUAGAUCAUGAAGUAUCUCACCUGUAUCAUAAGAAAUAUUGGAAUUUUGUUCCAUUGGAAAGCUUACUGGACGUGCUCCCAAAGCUCCUUCAUCUUUAAUAAUGUCCAGUGCAUAUUUCCUUUGACAAAUAGAAAUACCUUUCUUGGAACGUGAGACCUCAAUGCCCAAAAAAUAUUUAAGAUCACCAAGGUCUUUGAUCUUAAAACGAGUAUUAAGAAAUCCUUUGAGAGCAUUAAUGGCAGGCAAAUUAUUUCUUGUAAUCAUAAUGUCAUCGAUGUAGAUCAAAAGAGCGGUGAAUGAUUUGCCAUUUUUGCAGGUAAAAAGCGAAUAAUCAACUUGUAUGGCUUCAGUGAACUUAGAAAACAAUUGGCGAGAUGCUUGCUUCAAUCCGUACAAGGAUUUGUGAAGGCAACAUACCAAAUGCUCCCCCUGUCGCUGAAGACCAGGAGGAGGUGACAUAUAGAUUUCCUCAUGUAAAUCGUCAUAGAGGAAUGCAUUAUGGACGUCAAGUUGAUGCAAAAACCAGUUGUGAGCGGCGGCAAGAGCAAGAACACACCGAACAGAAACCAUCUUGGCAGUAGGAGAAAAUGUGUCAUGGUAGUCAAGACCUUCAGUUUGAGUGUAUCCUUUGACCACGAGACGAGCCUUAUAGCUCUCAAUGGUGCCAUCGGAACGAUGCUUGAUUUUAUAGACCUAUUUGCAUCCAAUGGGUUGCUUCCCAGGAGGAAGAGAAGUGAGGGACCACGUCUGAUUGGAUUCCAAAGCCGCAAGUUCAGAUUGCAUGGCCUCUUGCCAGUGUGGAUCAGAAACAGCCUCUGCAAAAGUGUUAGGUUCCACUGGCCGACUAAUAUUGGUAAUGAAAGUAAAGGGUGAUGGUGAGUAACGGUGAUAAGAAAGAAAGUCAUAAAGGGGAUAACGAGUACCUUUGGUGCGACAUGGCAAGGAGUCCGAAGAUUGGUCAAGCGUGGGUAAAGUAACCUGUGAGCAAACAUAAUCUUGGAGAUUGGCUAGUUUAACAUUUUGGCGAAGAGAGUGGUGGAUGAGGGUUGGUGGUAUAGAAAGAGAAGAAGUUUGUGAUGGGGUUGGUGCUGCAGCGGUGUCGAAAAGGAAAACGAGGGCAGUCGAAAGAGGCCGUCAGAUCAGGUGGGGUGGAAGGAGAUGAAGGACGUGGUAAGGGUAGGUAUGAAGAUAUACAUGGAGGAAAUGACAAAUCAGAUAAAGAAAGAGGUAAAACCGAAGGUAAAGGUUCCGGGGGAGAGGAAGAAGGCUGAGUUUGGAAAGGAAAAUGACUUUCAUGAAAAACGACAUCGCGACUGGUGAAAAAAUUUCUGGUGGUAAGAUCAAAUAAUUUGUAGGCAUUUUGACCAAAAGGGUAACCGAGAAAAACACAUCGCUUGGCUCUAGGAUCAAAUUUAUGGGAAGGUUGAUGGUGGCAUAGGCUAAACAACCAAAAACGCGAAGGUGGGUAUAAGAAUGAGAUUUGUGGUACAGCUUCUCAUAUAGGGAUAUCUUGGAUAAAAGGGCAGUGGGUAGACGAUUGAUCAAGUAAAUGGCGCGAGAACACACUCUCUCCAAAAGGAAAUAGGGAGAUUUGCCCGAAACAUAAAGCUCUAGCCAUCUCUAUGAUAUGUCGGUGCUUGCGCUCUACAACACCAUUUUGUUGUGGUGUGUAGACGCAAGUAUGUUGAUAGAUGACCCCAUGGUCGUGAAAGAAACGACGCAUGGAAGAAAAUUCACCUCCAUUAUCAACGCGUAUUUGUUGUACUUGAGUAUUGAAUUGUGUUUGGACAAAGGCAAAAAAAGACUUAAGCAGGUUCUGUGUUUCAGAUUUAUGUUGCAUGAGAAAUAACCAUGUGAACCUAGUAAAAUCAUCCACAAUAGUUAGAAAUAACGGGCCCCUAAAAAUGCAGUUUUAUGUGGCCCCCAAAUGUCGCAAUGAAUAAGAGAGAAUGGUUUAGAAGAGCAAAUAUAACUUAAAUUAAAAGGUAAUCGAGUUUGCUUUGCCAAUGGACAAACCUCGCAAGCAUUAUUUCAAUAAUGAAAAUUUAAAACAUUCUUAGCUAAAAAUUUUAAACGAGAAGAUGAUGGAUGGCCUAAAUGGCUAUGCCAGAGGUGAGUUGAGGCAUGAGCAUGGUUGCAAGAUGGUUGGAGGAGGGAAGGCUUGUCUGACGCCAAAGAAACCAGAUAGUAAAGACCUCCUUGCUGUUUACCCAGACCAAUCGUCUUCCUCGUAGCCAAGUCCUGCAAAAUGCACCAAUUAGGAAAAAAAAAAAAGAAUGGAACAAUGAAGUCCUUGUGUAAGUUUGCUUACUGGCAUCAAAUUAACUUUGAAGCUAGGCACAUACAAGACAAUUUUUAAAGAAAGAGAUGAGUUGAGAGAGGAAUUCCCAACGGAAAUAAUAGAAGCCUUGUCAACCACUAGGCAAUACAACUGGUAGAAUGAAAGGGUUGUUAUUUGUGGACACAAAAGAAUGUGAGGUGGAUGUAAUAUGAUCUGUUGCGCCACUAUCAAUCAGCCAGCACUGUAAAGGUAAAUGAUAAUAUGACAAACUUGCAGAGUUUGCUUGUGGCUCUUUCUUAUCAUUCAUCAUGGUAAGAAUCUACUAAUACUCACUGUCAAAAAGGUUUGGCAUGACAGACUUCAAUUCUUGCAUACUGGGAUUGUUCUGCCCGUGAUUGGCAGAGAAACUUGAGUCUUUCUUGUUUCUGUUGGAUUUGUGCAGUCGAUGCCUAGGAGGAUAGCCAUGAAGUUUAUAACAAGUAUCAAUUGUGUGAUGAUCCCAAUCGCAGUGAGUGCAGUGAAAAGGCUUGAGAGUAGAAUUUGAAGAUCCCUGGUGUUGACGAACAACCAUUGCAACAGGUUCCAAGGUAGUAUAAGAAGUCCCCAGUUGUCGUUGCUUCUCUUCUUGGGAAAUUAAAGAAUAGAUGUUGUGUAUGGAUGGUAGUGGCUGCAUAAGAAGAAUAUGUUCACGAGAAGUAGCAUAUGAAUCAUUCAGACCCAUAAGAAAUUGCAUCACCCGAUUCCUCUCAUCGCGUUCAGCGUGAUCUUUCAUGGCACCACAGGUACAAGACGGCACAUCGCUGUAUGAUGCCAACUCAUCCCAUAGUCCCUUAAGUCUUGUGUAAUAAGCAACAACCGACAUUUGAUCUUGAGUAAGGGAGGCAAUGUCACUUUGGAUCUGGAAAAUUAAAGGAACGUUGUUUUGAGAGAAAUGCUCCUUCAAAUCUUCCCAUAUAUCGUGAGCAGUGUUAAAGUAGAUGACGCUAUCAGCUAUAUCUUGAUCAAGGGAAUUCAAGAUCCAAGACUGGUUCAUAUCAUUGCAACGUUGCCAAAGAGAGAACUCAUCAGGAUCAGUUUUCUUUGAGGGCUUCUUGACAGUACCAUCAACAAAACCAAGUUUGUUCUUGGCACUCAAGGAGAUUCACAUAGAACGACACCAUGUCCCAUAGUUGUCUCCAUUCAAUGGUUUGGAUACAAGAACCAUGCCAGGAUGGUCAGGAUGAUGAAUGAAUAAAGGGUUGGAAACAUCAGACUUGUUUCCAUCCUUGGAAGAAGUUUCAACUUCUUUGUCAUUAGCCAUGGCAGAGAGCUAAUGAAAACAAAGAAGGAGGAAGCUGGGAUUUUUUACGUUAAAGAGAAAAAAAAACAGGAGCUAGGUUUUCUCCUGCUCUAAUACCAUGUAAAAUUGUAAUCAAAGAAAGAAUAUUUUAUUAUUGGAUGAUUUUCUCUUUACAAUGUCAAGGGUAUCUAUACCCAGGUUUCCUACAAUCAAGAGACUAAUAAAGGAAAGCAAAUCAUGUACAAUCAAUUACAUAUAAUUUGGCUAAUCACUCAAUCCCUAAGAUAUUGGGAUUUUGUUGACUUCUCAACAUCGAAUGAUGCAACGGCUUCCAGAAUUAUAAUUUUUUGGCCCUUCCUAGUCCCAUAAUCUCCUUGCCAGGAAGUUGGACAAUUCUUCCAUUACUAGUGCAUGCAGUCGAUGCUUCCAAUCAUGUCUGAAAAACCUCGAGGCUUGGCUUUUUGUAGAAGCCUUUGGAGGUCCCUAGGUGUAGGUUUGCAGAGGUAAUCCCUUGUGUAGAGAGUUUCGAUUACAUUACAGAAUCUGACUAAGCUCUCUAGGAUAGUGGAUUUCCUCAUCCUAGCAAUCUCAUCCACCUGGUCUGCAAAUGUGCCAAACGCCAGCAUCCGUAAAGAAGCUGUAAGUUUUUGCUCUAGAAGAAGACCCAAAACCCCAGUAGCAUCAUAUUUCUGAACGAAAUAUGUGUCGUAAUUGCAAACAUGAUGCAUGAUUUUAUUGAACAAAUGAGGUUGCAUUCUAUGUAUAUUGCCCUCGAAAAUCAAAACUAGAGUAUAACGAAUUUGGAAUAAAGUAAUCUUUCAAGAGAUUCUUACCCCUAGAGUGCCUAAGUCUGUUUAUGUUCGGGCCACAACCGAGUUGUGAACCACGGUGGUGUUGGCUUGAUUGAUGAAGCAUACCCACUGCCAUGACAACUUGAUCAUCAUCUUCUUCCCACUCCUUUUCUUCUUUAGCUCGUUUAUGCAUUCUUUCUUGAUUUUCUCGCUCGGCACUCUCCAACAACCUCCUCGUUUAAGAUAUUUAGAGUAGAAUGUGUUUUCUAAAAUCUGAGAAAUGAAAGGAUAGAAGGAUAUAGUAUAAAAGGUCUGAGUUGAGGCUAUAGUUUUAUAAAGGGAUUUAGAAGAUAGAGAUGGCACGUGACGCAAUUGUAGCAACUGAAAAUCUUAUUUGAAAUCUGAUAUUUGAAUUUUAUAAUAAAUAUGGACACGUGGCAACCGAAAAUCUUAUCCGAAAUAUGAGAUAUGAAUUUUAUAAUAAAUAUUGACACGUGGUAAUCGAAAAUCUUAUCCAAAUUAAUCGUUUACGUAUAAAAAUAAAAAUAAUUUAAAGUAAAUAGUAGUUGCCCUUUACCACGGCAAUUGAUGGAAAAACUUACCUUUUACAAGGACUAGCACUAUUCACAUAAAUAGUAACAAUACUUACCUACUUUUGCCCUUUGCCAUAACAAAUGAAUAAAAAUGCUUGAAGCUCAGACUAAAUUUUCUUGUCGGCCCAGCGCAUGUGCCAGAUGGAGGGAGCAAUCAUGUGUGGGUGUGAUAACCAAAAAUAUUCAUCAAUUUCUUUUUCUUCUCCAUUGUGAUGCUUUUUUUACCAUUCUUCAACUAAAAUAUAGAUAAAUUCAGAUUAUCAAUGCUGCUAAAGAGAAAUCUAUUAUGUGCUCCAAAAAGAUAAUGGAAGAUUAAUAUAUAGUACUUACUGUACAUAACAUACAUGAUUCUGAUUGUCAUAUUUGAGGAGAAAAAAAAUAAUCAUUCACUUUUGAACAAUUUCAUCUAAUAAUUAAUAGUAAGCAUCUCAUAGUGACUCAAAAGCAUAAAAAGUAAACCCAUCAUUCUAGGUGGUGGUGACAUUUCUCAACGUAGAAAGAAAGAAUCCAUCCCUAGUCAGAGAAUGCUAAUCAGGAAACUCAUGGACUAAGGUUUUAUGUUUUGGUCAACCAUGACCUAUAGUUUAAACCACCAAAACAGGGACGGGAGAACUCCUGGAGCAGCAAAAUGCAUAAUAAGACUUCAAUACGAAGCACAUCAACUGAUUAUGGCGCUGCUUCAUCCAUUCCUGGCACGUUUUGUGGGCUGGGUACCAGACUCAACAUCACCUGGGUGGUCAGGCUCCUCUUGACUUACGGUUUCUUGUGCCUUCUGCUUCUUCCUAUUUGCAUCUUGUGAACCUUCUUCCAAGGGAGUGCUCAUACUACUAGCGCUUAUUGGUGUUUUCCCAUGGUCAUGUUUGGAGGUCUCUGGUUUAUCCUCUCCAGGGGAAGGACACACAAGAUUUGAUGGUGGAGUAGCGUGGUCAUCCACAGUGGAUGAUGCGGCCUUCACCCUGCUGUCUUCCAUCUUUCUCUGUUGCUCAAACAUCUUUUCAAGGUACUUUCCUUGUUCUUCAAUUUGCAACUGCAACUUUCUUUGGUUCUGCAAGAAUUAAAUAUGACAUCAGAACAAGUGAACAACCAAUAUACACUUACUCUCACCCUCCCCCAUGUGUGUCCACAUCUCUGUGUGUGUGUGUGUGUGUGUGUGUGUGUGUGUGUGUGUGUGUGAGUGAGUGAGUGAGUGAGAGAGAGAGAGAGAGAGAGAGAGAGAGAGAGAGAGAGAGACGCAUGGAAUCAUCAACAGAAUAUUUAAAUUAUUAUUCAAUAAAACUCAUUUAAACAAGAAACAAAACUGAACUCUCAAGAUGUAAAUUACACUGAUUCUUUACACCCUACCCAGUUCCCAACAAGCAAACAGUUGUUACACAUUCUAAACAGAAAAUAGAGAAGGCAAUCUGUGUCUUCCAACUGCAUACCUCAAGUUGUUCGUGAAGCCGCUUUUGAAGCUCCACCUGCAACCGCAAUGCUUCAGUAAUCCCCAUACUCCUGCAAGAGGUGGACAACAAAAGGUGAAGCCAGAUUUCAACUUAAUACCUCACAAAUAGAUUGUAGUACAGAUCUCUCGCAGAAAAGCUUAGCAUUCCCAGUUGCAUAGGUUAAUAAAUGAAACUUUUGUGCUAACAAAGAGAAUACAUGAAACUUUUAUAACAUAGUACAGCAAUGGUCGCAAACUAGAGGGGAUAAAUGAGUAAAGGAAAAGAAAAGAGUGAGAUGCUUAUGCUUCAAUAUUCUGGGUGAAUGAAAAAUACAUACGCUUUCAAGUCUAGAGAAUUUGUUUCUUCAACCGGAGUUGAAACUUUCUCACAAGCUCCUGGCACAAAAGAAAUAAAGAACAUAAUUUACUCAUAACUCAAAUGCCUGAUUCUUUUACAAAGAGAUGUCUACAUACACACAUAGACAUACACAUACGGAUCCUCUUUUUCAGACAAGAGAGCAUUAUAAAGACAUAAUAAAGGAACAAAAGUGAUGUAUAUUUCGUAAUGUAACACAAUAACAUAGGAAGUGAGGGGAAACAGAAAUGUAUAAAUGAAAGUCAGCUCAGUAUUUCUAAGAGUUUGAAUAAAAAUUUAACCAUCAAGCAACACAAAAGGCUGUUCAUAACUACCAGGAGGACUAAUUUAAGAAAUCACCUAGAAAUCAAAACAUUUUUAUAAAUGACAAUUUGGCAAGCCAAAGGUCUCAAAGAUGUUUCAAGCAAAACACCUAAUAAAUAACAGAGGUAAUAUUUACCUUCUGAUGACUCCGGUUUGUAUCUGGCUGUUCUAUAUUUCUGAAAUUUAAAAUUAAAAAAAUUAAAAAAAAGGUCCAGAAAAACAAAUAAAACAACCACCAACUUGUCAUAGGGAACUAAUCGAGGAUAGAAAUAUAUUCACAUACCUGUAAAUGGCUUUUUACAUGAUAGAUUGUCAAGCCUUCAACUUUCAUGAGGUUUAAAAUACCCUUAGGAGUAGCUCCUGUUUGUUAGUUAUUAGCCAAUGACAAAAGAAGCUGUCACUUCUCAUACCCAUGGAAAUAAAGAACUACAACAUGAUGACCAAAAACAAAACAUAGUAGCAUACUAGCAUGUGUUACCCACGUUCACUACCAUCAAGCUGGUUCACAGCUUCCACAAAGGCUUCAUGAAGUUCUUGUGUCCAACGCAUUCUGGGUUUGGUUGGAGGUGCAGUGGAUAAUGUUUCAGGGCUGGGACGAAAUUCUUCAGAUUGAACUGGCUGAUGCUGUUGAAUCUGGGGCGGCUGCACCAGGAUAUCCGAAUAUGGGUUCAACACCUGGCACAUCAUUUAAAGUUAUAAGUAAACACAGACAGACUAGCCCCGAAGUAAAGUUCAAUGUGAAAAUUCAAUUUUUUGAAAUCUCUAAAAGAUGUGUCAAAACAAAAUAGUUGCUAUAUAUUAAGGUCACAAAAACUGCUGACUAGAAACAAAAUAUCAUACCACAUUAUUAGUCGCUAAACAAUAAAAUAGCCAUGAACUUAUCAAAAUGUUUUAGCUCUAUUGGAAAUACUGGCUGUAACCAUCCAAAUAGAAGUAUCAAAACACACCUUUGGUUUGGGAUCCACUGCAUCAACAUCAAUGGGAAGCUCCCAGUUUGGGUCCAGAGCAUCAUCAAAGGAAAUUAAUGGAUCCCAAUCAGACCAAUCGGUCUUCUCAGCAUGAUCCUCAGAUGUUAUGACACCAGUACUACUAUCCACCAGGCCAGUCUGGUCAGGGACAUUUUCAGGGAAAUGAAGAAAUUCCUGAAGUGAAUCUGGGUACCAGGAAAUAUCUUUAUUUUCUUCAGAGUAAUUAAUCAAUGCUGUAGGUUGUACUUCUGAAUGGGAAGAAUGGGUCAGUGACAAUGAUUUUUCAUCAACUGGUAAUUUAAAAAUGAAUGGAGAAUUUUGGGAACGACUUUCACAAGGGGAAACUGAGGAAAAAUGAACAUCAUUGGGCCUGGAAGAUGAUGAAAAUAAGUGCCCAGGGGAAGAAUCCUGUGGUAACUUAGAAUAUCUAGUCUUCUCCCUUUGUGAUGUAACCUGAAAAGAAUCUGGCAAUCUGGAAUACUUAUCAUCAAGAGGGGUAGAGAGAUUUGGAAAUGAUGAAGACAUAGCUUUGGAAGACCCGAAGUUACUCAUCUGUUUUGCACCCGAUCUUCAAAUAAAUAGAGCAGUAUGGAUGUUCGUUAUUGUUUGCGACUCAAGUCUGCAAACUAGUGUCUUCCCAGCCACUCCCACAACAUUAUUCUUCAUUGUCAACAAAACAGAAACUACAUAUACACAUAAGGAGAGCUUUAACCACAUUCAGCCUAAUAUUCACAUUCACUAUCAUCCAAUGAGCUGAUUGCUGGUACCUGUGAGAAGAAAAUUACAUACAGAAUGAGGCUGGUCAAAGUAUUUUCACCAUAUCUCGGCCAACAGUGGUAUGAACAAAAGUCAAAGUCGCAGAGAUUGAACAUUUAUUUAUAUGAGUUUAAAAGCAAACUGAAAUUAACUUUUCAGAAGACUUUUGAUAUUUUCCAACCAACCAAAUCUCAACUCCACAAAAAUGAUCCAUAAUUUCAAUCCCUUAAACAACUAUAAUCAAUAAACUCCCACAUGGCAUCAUAAACACGUCAAUAAGCAAGCACAUAACGCAAAAAUAACCCAAAGAGCAAAAGCAAAUGAACUCAACAACGCAAAACCGCAUAUAAUCAAAUUAUCUGUUCAAAAUUAAAGACAGCACAUCACAGAGCACGUCAAGAAAGCACACUGAUUUCCCAUAAUUUCAGAGAAAACAAAACUGAUAUGGAGAUAUAAACAAUACAGAAAAAUCAUCUAUGUAAACAGAAUAGUGGGAAUUGAGCAAUCUUACCCCAGAGUGAGAAAACUGAACCUCGAAUCCCAAAGGCUGGACUUUGAAUCAAAGUUGAAUGCUUUGAGGGUGCAGCAGAAAAGCGAGCCAAAAAAAAAAAAGAAAAAAAAAAAAAGAGGAAAACUAUCUAUGAAAGAUUCUGGUAGACACGGGAUGACAUGACGACGGCUGUUCUCCCCUUGACUUAAUCUCACAUCACAAGAACUCCCUUCCCUCUCACCAGAAAGAGAGAAGAACGUAU
rnacentral:lncRNA from 1 species